rnacentral:rRNA from 1 species
AUAUCAAUAAGCGGAGGAAAAGAAACCAACAGGGAUUGCCCCAGUAACGGCGAGUGAAGCGGCAACAGCUCAAAUUUGAAAUCUGGCCCCCUAGGGGGUCCGAGUUGUAAUUUGCAGAGGAUGCUUUUGGCGAGGCGCCGGCCGAGUGCCCUGGAAUGGGACGCCGUAGAGGGUGAGAGCCCCGUACGGCCGGACGUCGAGCCUCUGUAAAGCUCCCUCGACGAGUCGAGUAGUUUGGGAAUGCUGCUCUAAACGGGAGGUAAACCCCUUCUAAAGCUAAAUACCGGCCAGAGACCGAUAGCGCACAAGUAGAGUGAUCGAAAGAUGAAAAGCACUUUGAAAAGAGAGUUAAACAGCACGUGAAAUUGUUGAAAGGGAAGCGCUUGUGGCCAGACUUGCGCCCGGCGGCUCAGCCGUCCCUCGUGGGCGGUGCACUCCGCCGGGCUCAGGCCAGCAUCAGCUCGCUGCUGGGGAGAAAGGCGGUGGGAACGUGGCUCUUCGGAGUGUUAUAGCCCGCCGCCAUGCCCUCCAGCGGGCUGAGGUUCGCGCCUUAGGGCAAGGAUGCUGGCGUAAUGGCCAUCAGCGACCCGUCUUGAAACACGGACCAAGGAGUCGUCCUAGCAUGCGAGUGUUCGGGUGCCAAACCCCUACGCGAAAUGAAAGUGAACGGAGGUGAGAGCUUCGGCGCAUCAUCGACCGAUCCUGAUGUUUUCGGAUGGAUUUGAGUAGGAGCAUGCUGGGCCGGACCCGAAAGAAGGUGAACUAUGCUUGGAUAGGGCAAAGCCAGAGGAAACUCUGGUGGAGGCUCGCAGCGGUUCUGACGUGCAAAUCGAUCGUCAAAUCUGAGCAUGGGGGCGAAAGACUAAUCGAACCUUCUAGUAGCUGGUUUCCGC